rnacentral:rRNA from 1 species
GGAAUCUUGCACACUGGACGAAAGUCUGAUGCAGCGACGCCGCGUGGGGGAUGAAGGCCCUAGGGUCGUAAACCCCUUUCAGUGGGGACGAAACUGACGGUACCCCCCGAAGAAGGUCCGGCCAACUACGUGCCAGCAGCCGCGGUAAGACGUAGGGAGCGAGCGUUGUCCGGAAUUAUUGGGCGUAAAGAGCUCGUAGGCGGUUGCGUAAGUCGGAUGUGAAAUCUCGAGGCUCAACCUCGAGACGCCAUCCGAUACUGCGCUGACUUGAAUCCAGUAGGGGAGUGUGGAAUUCCUGGUGUAGCGGUGAAAUGCGCAGAUAUCAGGAGGAACACCUAUGGCGAAGGCAGCACUCUGGGCUGGUAUUGACGCUGAGGAGCGAAAGCAUGGGUAGCAAACAGGAUUAGAUACCCCCGUAGUCC